AAUUUUGCUUCAUGUUAUCACAAGAUAAUCUGAAAAUAAACUUUGACUCAUUUAGAAAGGUCUCACUGUCAAAGUAUCAUAAGUCAUGUUGUGAAGGGUUCAUUUAGAAAGGUUUCAUUGUCACAGUAACAUAAGUCAUGAUGUGAAUUUGAAGGGUUCAUUUAGAAAGGUUUCACUGUAAUGGGUUUUAAAGAUUAUUUAUCUGGACAAGACUUGUUAAUUCUUUAAUCUGUCAUUCAUAAGAUGUAAAGAAAACUUAAAUAAAAAGAGUUUUUAUUAUAUUUUAAAAUGUAGUACAUAGACUUACAGUUAGCCAACAUUAGUUUCAUAUUUUUAAUGAAAAAAAAAUCUAUAACAAAAAGUCAAGAAAUGAUAACAUAAACUAUAUAUCACAUUUGUUAUCUUAUGCAGAUCAGACAUUUCUGUGUGUCCACCCUUAUUAAACAUACAUACUCUAUUAGUGUUGGUAAAUCCUUUGAAUUGACAAAUUGAAAAGAAAUUAUGGUAGUGUGUUGUAUUAGUAUUGACAAUGCUAUGCUUAAAUUUGUAGGAACAAUUUACAAUCAAUUUUAUUUCAAUAGAAAUAUAUUUUUAUGCCCCUGUCAUGAUGGAGGGGGCAUUGAAUUUUACCCUUGUCCGUCUGUACAUAUGUACAUCCAUACGUCCUGAAAUUGGUUUCCGUUCUGUAACUUUACUUUGCCUCAACCAAAUUUUAUGAAACUUAUACACAAUGCUAAUUACCUCAAAACACAGGUAAAGUUUGAAUUUCGGUGGCGUCACUUUUACCAUUCUAGAGUUAUGCUCCUUUACAAAUGGAAAAAUUGCUGAAUUUUUUCGUUUCCGUUCUCUAACUUUAGUUUGCCUCAACCAAAAGUUAUGAAUCUCAUACACAAUGCAUAUUACAACAAAACUCAGAUCAAGUAUGAAUUUGGGUAGCGUCACUUUUACCGUUCUUGAGUUAUGUCCCUUUAUAACGUAAUAUGCAAGCGGGGGCAUCAUCUGUGUCCCAUGGACACAUUCCCCAUUUAUUAUUUUAAAAUAUUAUUGAUUGUUUAGAAAUUCUUGUUGCAAUGAUUAAAAAAUGAUUGGCAGGGAUGAAAAUGAAAAGAAGAUUUUAUCUUUUAAUUGUUAGAUGUCUGAAUAUAUCAAAUGAAAGGACAGUUGUUAUUGAAUACUGUAAAUUUAGAAAUCAUUGCAUUUUAAAGAAAGAACAAAAAUGCGAAUAUAAU